rnacentral:rRNA from 1 species
AUUGAACGCUGGCGGCAGGCCUAACACAUGCAAGUCGAGCGAGCGGCGGACGGGUGAGUAAUGUCUGGGAAACUGCCUGAUGGAGGGGGAUAACUACUGGAAACGGUAGCUAAUACCGCAUACCAUCAGAUGUGCCCAGAUGGGAUUAGCUUGUAGGUGGGGUAAUGGCUAACCUAGGCGACGAUCCCUAGCUGGUCUGAGCGGAUGACCAGCAACACUGGAACUGGGACACGGUCCAGACUCCUCCGGGAGGCAGCAGUGGGGAAUAUUGCACAAUGGUCGAAAGCCUGAUGCCGCCAUGCCGCGUGUAUGAAGAAGGCCUUCGGGUUGUAAAGUACUUUCAGCGAGGAGGCGUUACCAGCAGAAGAAGCACCGGCUAACUCCGUGCCAGCAGCCGCGGUAAUAC